rnacentral:rRNA from 1 species
AGUGAACGCUGGCGGUAGGCCUAACACAUGCCAGUCGAACGGCAGCACAGUAAGAGCUUGCUCUUACGGGUGGCGAGUGGCGGACGGGUGAGGAAUACAUCGGAAUCUACUUUUUCGUGGGGGAUAACGUAGGGAAACUUACUCUAAUACCGCAUACGACCUACGGGUGAAAGCAGGGGAUCUUCGGACCUUGCGCGAUUGAAUGAGCCGAUGUCGGAUUAGCUAGUUGGCGGGGUAAAGGCCCACCAAGGCGACGAUCCGUAGCUGGUCUGAGAGGAUGAUCAGCCACACUGGAAGUGAGACACGGUCCAGACUCCUGCGGGAGGCAGCAGUGGGGAAUAUUGGACAAUGGGCGCGAGCCUGAUCCAGCCAGACCGCGUGGGUGAAGAAGGCCUUCGGGUUGUAAAGCCCUUUUGUUGGGAAAGAAAAGCAGCAGGUUAAUACCACGCUGUUGUGACGGUACCCAAAGAAUAAGCACCGGCUAACUUCGUG